rnacentral:rRNA from 1 species
AUUGAACGCUGGCGGCAUGCCUAACACAUGCAAGUCGAACGGAGGUAGGGGCAACUCUACUUCAGUGGCGGACGGGUGAGGAAUGCGUCGGAAUCUACCCUAUGGUGGGGGAUAACACAGGGAAACUUGUGCUAAUACCGCAUAAUGUCGAGAGACCAAAGCAGGGGACCGCAAGGCCUUGCGCGAUAGGAUGAGCCGACGCCCGAUUAGCUAGUUGGUAGGGUAAAGGCCUACCAAGGCGACGAUCGGUAGCUGGUCUGAGAGGAUGAUCAGCCACACUGGGACUGAGACACGGCCCAGACUCCUACGGGAGGCAGCAGUGGGGAAUAUUGGACAAUGGGCGCAAGCCUGAUCCAGCAAUGCCGCGUGUGUGAAGAAGGCCUGCGGGUUGUAAAGCACUUUUGUUCGGGAAGAAAUCAUAGCUGGUUAAUACCUGGUAUGGAUGACGGUA